rnacentral:rRNA from 1 species
ACAAGGCGGGACUAUCUGUCUGGCAAUUGUAUUGAGAACAAUGUACAACUCUUAUCGAUAAGCCAUUGGAGGGCAAGUCUGGUGCCAGCAGCCGCGGUAAUUCCAGCUCCAAUAGCGUAUAUUAACGUUGUUGCAGUUAAAAAGCUCGUAGUUGAAGUGUGGGUGAUCGCUGUUGUGAGACUUCGGUCUCUCGACAGUAAGUCACCCCCUUCCAGUAUCCAGUAGUGGGUAUUCAGUUACUUACUAUUGUGUGUUGGUCCUUUACUGUGAGAAAAUUAGAGUGUUCAAAGCAGGCGUUUGCUUGAAUAGAUUAGCAUGGAAUAAUAAUUGAAGGCUUUCGUGUUCGAUUUGAUUGGUUUGUUCAUGGAAGCAAGGUUAAAAGGAACAGUUGGGGGUAUUCAUAUUCACUAGUUAGAGGUGAAAUUCUCGGAUUUAUGAA